UGUCUCUCUCUGUCAAAUAAAUAAAUAAAAUCUUAAAAAUAAAUAAAUAAAUAAAAUCUUUAAAAAGGGUCGGGGGGGGCAAGGUCAUGAACAAGUGUUUUGUAGAAGAGGAAAUACAAAUGGCUGGACCUCAUUGUGAUCAAGGAAAUGCACAGAAAGCCAUUCCACACCAUCAGUUUGGCACAAACUUUAGUCUUACAAUGCCAGGUUUUGGCAAGGAUGGGUAGCAAUGGGAACUCUCACAGACUGCCAGAGGAGUGUAAAUUAGUCUAACCACUUUGGACAACAUUUUGGCAUUACCUAGUAAAGUGACACAUGCCCAGCAAUUCUGCUCCUAGGUUUGUACCCCAGAGGAACUGCAAGGAUGCCCCCAGGAGACCUGAGAGCAAAUUUCUGAAGGCUGGUGUGUGCUGUUUUAAGUUCAUUGCAUGAAAUAACUCCUUGGAUCCUCUACACAUUUAUGAGAUGAGACUAUUAUCCCCAUUUUACACAUGAGGAAACUGAGGCACAGAGAAGUUGAGUAACUAGCCUGAGUUCCUUUAGCUAGUGAGAAGAGCUUGCAGGGCUUCUAAUUCAGUGGCAACAGAGCCCAAAGUCUGCCCUCCCCGCAACUGCUAAGCAUUCUACACACAGUGUCUCAUUUCCACUCCACCCACACCCCUAUGAGGCAGUGACUUUGUUCAUUUUACAGAUGAAGAAACUGAAGAGCAGAAAUGUGCUCGAAGUCACACAUCUAGGGAAUGGACUCUAUAACCUCUCCUGCAUGUGCCUCCCUUCAGUGAGGUGCAGGGGCGACCCACCCCGGUGACAGAAGGAAGCAGAGGUUGGAGGGUGUGUUUAGUUGUCCCAAGUCUCCGUUCUGCCCACGUGCCCCUUGCUCUCUGCACAGCCGGGAGUCACCUGCCGGCCACUAGCAGCCCCAAGGUGCUCCAGUGCCGCCGUCCGGGCUCCGCGCCGUAACCUCCCCCACCUCAUUGGUCAGUGCUGGUCACGUGCCAUCCACAUAGCCAAUGGGAGCGAGGGGGCGGGGCGGCGCGGCGCGGGGCGGGGAGGGAAGCCCGGACGCCGACUGCGCCUUCGCCUGACAGUCCCUGCCCAGAAGGAAAGGAGAGUUGGUGGCUUGCGGCUUCUGGAAGAAGGUUCGGAAUCACCAACGGAGGGAAGGGAAGAAGGAACAGACCAGAGAGGCAGGACCGGGACGAGUGGGGGGCCCUGCUGCGCUUGGAAACAGUGAGAUGAGGCCCAGAGAGGGAGAGUAACAUGCCCAAGGUCACGUAGCAAGUAGACUGUGGAGGCAAGAUUUGUGCCCGGUAUUCAGGCUCCGGAGCCCACAAUCUUAACCACUAAUGUGGGGACAGUGAAGAGCACAGGAUCCUGGGAUCAGGAUUGGAGGAAGACAGACUGAGGACCCCUGCCCAUGACCCAGCACGGAAUUCUAGGCCACCCUCCCUGGACAGGCGCAGAGCCCAGGGCACCCACUUGCUCACAGAAGUAGAGGAUCCUACCGGACGACCUCUUCCCCUAGGCCCCUCCCCCACAACUGGGCACCCUGAUUUGUCUUCUGCGUCCUGGUCUGGCCUCCUCCACUCCUGUCCCUGGGACUCCUGCUCCAGGUAGGCCAGGGAGCAUUCCACCUGCUAGGGGGAGGGCUGAAGGCAGCACUGAGCCCCUGGAGAGGGCCGUCCCUGCCCCCAGGCACAGCAGUGCCUGCAGAUUCUGAUAAAGCAGGCUGGCUCCACCAGCUGUGAAAACCCCAGCCAGGGGCCCAGCUGCCAGCCCAGCACGGACCCGUGCCCUGGCUUGUACACAAGGGACACAGUUCCAAGGGGGUGCCCAGCUAUUAUCACUACGGGUU